UACGGCGACAACACUUUGAAACACCGGAUCCGUAUGUUCACCGAUGUUAAGACACGUCAAGCCUGGUUAGUACCAAGAUGGGUGACCGCUUGGGAAUAUCAG